AUCAAGUUCUCAUAGGGUCUUAAACCUUUAAAUAAUCAAGCAUGGAAUUUCCCAUAAUGUAUAUGGCUCUUAACUACUUCUACGUGACCUUAACAACAUUUUUAUGUUUGUAUUUCCUAAGAUAUUAAGCUCCCAAAAUCAAGUGCAUGCAUUUUCUAACUCCUAAAAAUUAAUCUUAUGGAAAAUGGUUCAGUAUUUUCCUAAAUCAAGACCUUUUCUCCAUCCUCAAAUACUUGAUAUCUAAGCCACUUACUCUUUCUAGUUAAGUCAUAUGGAUCGUCAACUUAUCAAG
rnacentral:lncRNA from 1 species